GCACCCCCAGUCACUUCCUCUGAAAGGACACGUGACCCCACUUCCUCCUGCGCCACUCUGGGGCAUCACUUUUCCCUUUGCAGACUGCUCCCAGCUGCUGCUGCUGCGAACUUCCCCUCCUGAGCCUCAGCCUGCGACUCCGCUCCUGAAGGAUUACGACCUGUGCAUCACCUGUUAUAACACUAAAAACCACGACCACAAGAUGGAGAAAUUGGGCCUUGGCCUAGACGAUGAGAGCAACAACCAGCAGACUGCAACCACCCAGAGCCCUGGUGACUCCCGCCGUCUGAGCAUCCAGCGCUGUAACCAGUCCCUUGUCCAUGCCUGCCAGUGUCGUAACGCCAACUGUUCACUGCCGUCCUGUCAGAAGAUGAAGUGGGUUGUCCGACACACCAAAGGCUGCAAGUGCAAGACCAACGGAGGGUGCCCUCUUUGCAAACAGCUCGUUGCUCUUUGCUGCUACCAUGCUAAGCACUGCCAGGAGAACAAGUGCCCGGUGCCCUUUUGCCUCAACAUUAAACACAAGCUCCUCCAACAGCAACUUCAGCACCAUCCGCAGCAGAGAGGAGGAUAGCGAGCAUGCAGAGGACAGGUGUGAUAGGUUGGCAGCAAAGAUUGCCUUCACCAACACCAGCCACACCAACAACUCCACCAGGCCAGCAGUGUAGCCCAUAGAGCUAGUUUAGCCUUUUAUCAUAUUUAGCAGUAACACAAGGAACCUACAGGCCUGUACCCUGUAAGACAUUUCUUAGACGAUCUUGCUUAAGCUAUAGUGAAGCAUAGUAGGCCUGUGUCCCUUGGCACAGAUAAAUGGCCUGACAAGGGGAAAGUUUUCUAUAUGGGCAGCAUGGAGAGAAAGAGACCAUCUAUCUGUGUCAGCACCUGUCCUGGGCACUAUGAACUGUAAGGCAAUAGGGCUGCUCAGUAAGUUCCCUCUCAGUGAUUGCGGCAUAGUGUAUUCCAGGAGAAGCAGUUUGUCCAUGCUCGCCCCACAGCAUUUCAAAAGGGGCCAUUUAACAUCCCACCUCUGCGUUCCCAAUGCCCUUGACAGGCUUCUCCCUCAUCCUAGCCAAGUUGCUGGUCUCUGUUUCAACCUCAAGGAGAAUGUUCUGUCCCUGGCUCGGAAGCCUGCAUUCCUUGUGGUGACAGCACUGGUCAGGAGAGUCCCAGAGCGCCAGGCUGUAGGCCUGCUUAGGGAGUGUUUCCCAAAGAUGCAGUGGUGCUGCAGCCUCCUGCUGAAAGUGGCCUCAAACUUCGAGCUGAGUAAGACCAAUGCACUGUGGGGUUGGUCAGGCUAUCAAGGCUAAGCGGCUGGAGGUGCCCUUUUAGCUACUAACCUAAUGGGAAAAAAUCCUUCAUUAAAUCUCAGAUAAUUCUUGGGUCAGUCAUGUGCGGACAUAUCCCAGGAGAGAGGAUAUGUAUGGGCCAUCUACAGGAGCUCUCCUUUAUUACUUCUCCCCACAAACCCCUGGCUUUCCACUAGUUCCUGUGAAGAACGGGGUGCUGGGGAGGGAGGUUAGAUUUAGUGCAGCAUAUGCCCCCUUUAAACUUGGGGAACAUAGAUUUGCCACCCUCUGCAUGACCCUCCUCUUCCACUCUCAGGUGCUCCACCAUUCCUGAGAACCUGAAAUCCCUGGCCUAGUCUACCCCUUCUCAAGAGCCUCAGCCCUCCGGAAGCCCCUCCCCCCAUACUGUUCUCUCCCAGGACCCCCAUCUCUCCUACUCCACACCUGACCCCUUCCCUGCUGGCGAGCCUGGCCAUUGGCUGAUGUGUCUGUCUCACUUCCCGGCUGGUUCUUGGUGCUGAGAGGUACCAUUGUGGUUUUGGCAACUGUCAGGUGAGGCCCCGGCCUGCUGCGCAUGCAGAGUGGGACCUGGGUGGCUGCCAUGGCAUGCUUCCAGCCAUGAGGAGCGUGACCGCUAGUUACAAGAUCACCGCACAAGCAUCAACAAAACGAAGACCCAGCAAGUGACAUCUCUUAACUGGCAAGAGAGUAGAAAACCCGGCCUAGUCAAUGGCAACCCUAUUUUCCAUGUACCUGCUCAAAAGUGGUCAGGCCAUGGCCCAGGUGCCGUGCCCCCACUCCAGCUCUGCAGCCUAGGGUACAGGCUCUCAGAGAUUAGUGGCUAUUCUGGGCUAGAAUUGUUCUGUACUCCUGGUUGUGAAAAUGCUUUAGGAUAUUGUUUUCUUUUCUGGUGCAGUUAAACUAUUAAACAACAUGUGUUCGCCACUGGUAUUAGGGUGUGUUAUUUUAUAAUAUCCUUCACACAGCAUUAACACCCUUCACACAAUACUGCCAGUGUCAAGUGUUCAAAGAGCAUGAGUCAGCUCCCCCGCCCCCCAUCUUGAGAUUAAAUAAAUAUAUAACAUUUUAGGGUUUAUAUGUUUGUCUUUGGGUUUUGAGCCAUGUUUUCAGGCUUUUUUCUGCACCCAGGCAGGCUCAAAACAAUUUUUUUUUAAUGAAAGCUGAAAGUCUCAUUAAAUCAUCUGACUCCCGGGCCUGGGGUUUUAAAAAACACACCAAAUAUUGUGAGACUUGUGUCACCGCCCUUUCCUCCCUGGGUUACUCGGGAGCAGCCAACACUCACGUGUGUGCCUGGGCGCCUGAUGUUGACAUUCAAGAAGAUCCUGAGUAUCCCAGUGGUGCUGUUGGAUAGGUGGGAAUCCUCUAUUCACCCCUCUGCUACAGUCCCUUUACUCCAGUGGUUUGCAAACUUUUGUAUUGGUGACCGCUUUCACACAGCAAGCAUAUGAGUGCAACCCCCCCUUAUAAAUUAAAAAACAAAUUUUUUAUAUUUAACACUAUUAUAAAUGCUGGAGGUGAAGCGGGGUUUGGGGUGGAGGCUGACAGCUCGCGACCCCCCAAGAAAUAACCUUGUGACCCCCCUGAGCGGUCAGGACCCCCAGUUUGAGAACCCCUGCUUUACUCCUAAAGGAAUUUAAAAUUAGCGGUGCCUCUACCUGGCUGGCCCCUGUACACACUCAAUGGCGUGCCUGGGGAACCUCCAGGAACAAAGCUAUUCUAAUAAUAAUAAUAAUAUAAUCUGUGGCAUGGGUGUAACUCAAAAAUAUCAAUUAUAAAUAAUAUAAAUCCAAUAUACUUGCAUUAGAGUGAACACACCUUUACUUAACAACUUAAAAAAUCAGGGUAUAAGAGUCUAAGAUUAUGUGUCACUACUAAUUUAAAUCCACAAGGGGCAAUUGAAUAAAAUCAAUUAAUAAAUAUAGUACACAGCAAUAAAUGAAACUUAUCUAACUGGCAUUUACACUGGCACCAUUUACCCCACCCCAAGUGUACACUCCUCUGGAUUUCAGAGUCCUAGACGCUGGCUUGCGUGGGCGCGCUGGAAGAUCUGCAGCUGGAGACAGUGCUCGGUUGGUUCUGUGUAUCACUCCAGCCAAGGCAACAAGCUGCACAACCCCUCUGACGACUGGACUGGCUCCACCAAAGGGCCAGCAGCAGACUCCUCAAGUUCAGCAAGCUGGGAUGGGGCCAGCAGCUCCCCAGGAGAUGGUGUUGGGAGAACAUAUGGCAGACCCAGCAAUACGCAGACUCAUUCAGCAGCAGCUCGCUCUCCUCUUACAGGCUCACAAGUGCCAGCGGCGGGAACAGGCAAAUGGUGAGGUACGACAAUGCAACCUCCCUCAUUGCCGUACCAUGAACAAUGUCCUCAGCCAUAUGACAAACUGCCAGGCUGGCAAAUCCUGCCAGAGUGAGUAAAGGGGGUGUGUGCAUCCAUCCAGGGCUGGAUUUAGGGGCAGGUGACCCAGGAGACCACCUGGAGUGCCAGGCUUGGAGGGCACCGGACUCAGGGUGCUGUUUUUGUUGUUAGUGACAAAAGGGAAAAUAGAAUGUUUGAAGCAAAAUGUUUCAGGUAUUCCAUAUGUGGAUUCAUUUUUCACUAACCUGCUAGAAUGUUCUGGACUUUUGUAGAAUCUCGUGGAACCUUCCAGACUUUUUGAGAACAACAUUUAAUUUGAACCUCCUAGAACGUUGUCAGCCAUGCCCUCACAGAUAUAUUACGGGCAGGGCAUUGCCGGUCAGUCAGUGAGAUACAAGGAUGAUCUGAAGUGACAGCCCAGCUGCGAUACUAUGAACCUUGUGUUAUUGUGUAAUUGUGAAAGUGUACUUGUGAUUUAAGACUUGAGGAGUGUACAUAGCUACUAAUAAAAAGACAUAUUUA